UACGGAGGGUGCAAGCGUUAUCCGGAUUCACUGGGGUUAAAGGGUGCGUAGGUGGGCAGGUAAGUCAGUGGUGAAAUCUCCGGGCUUAACCCGGAAACUGCCGUUGAUACUAUUUGUCUUGAAUAUUGUGGAGGUAAGCGGAAUAUGUCAUGUAGCGGUGAAAUGCUUAGAUAUGACAUAGAACACCAAUUGCGAAGGCAGCUUACUACACAACGAUUGACGCUGAGGCACGAAAGCGUGGGGAUCAAACAGG
rnacentral:rRNA from 1 species